CAGGCAUGGGGGGGAACCCUGAUCAGCCUGCCGCGUGUGUGAAGAAGGCCUUUUGGUUGUAAAGCACUUUAAGCGAGGAGGAGGCUACUCUAGUUAAUACCUAGGGAUAGUGGACGUUACUCGCAGAAUAAGCACCGGCUAACUCUGUGCCAGCAGCCGCGGUAAUACAGAGGGUGCGAGCGUUAAUCGGAUUUACUGGGCGUAAAGCGUGCGUAGGUGGCCAAUUAAGUCAAAUGUGAAAUCCCCGAGCUUAACUUGGGAAUUGCAUUCGAUACUGGUUGGCUAGAGUAUGGGAGAGGAUGGUAGAAUUCCAGGUGUAGCGGUGAAAUGCGUAGAGAUCUGGAGGAAUACCGAUGGCGAAGGCAGCCAUCUGGCCUAAUACUGACACUGAGGUACGAAAGCAUGGGGA
rnacentral:rRNA from 1 species